rnacentral:rRNA from 1 species
UACGUAGGUGGCAAGCGUUGUCCGGAUUUAUUGGGCGUAAAGCGCGCGCAGGCGGUUCUUUAAGUCUGAUGUGAAAUCUUGCGGCUUAACCGCAAGCGGUCAUUGGAAACUGGGGAACUUGAGUACAGAAGAGGAAAGUGGAAUUCCACGUGUAGCGGUGAAAUGCGUAGAGAUGUGGAGGAACACCAGUGGCGAAGGCGGUCGUGCUGGGCAGUAGCUGACACUGAGGUGCGAAAGCGUGGGGAGCAAACAGG